AACGCUGGCGGCGUGCCUAAUACAUGCAAGUCGAGCGGAAUGAUGAAGAAGCUUGCUUCUUCUGAUUUUAGCGGCGACGGGUGAGUAACACGUGGGCAACCUACCUUGUAGAUUGGGAUAACUCCGGGAAACCGGGGCUAAUACCGGAUAAUCCAUUUUGCUUCAUGGCGAGAUGUUAAAAGGCGGCUUCGGCUGUCACUACGAGAUGGGCCCGCGGCGCAUUAGCUAGUUGGUAGGGUAAUGGCCUACCAAGGCGACGAUGCGUAGCCGACCUGAGAGGGUGAUCGGCCACACUGGGACUGAGACACGGCCCAGACUCCUACGGGAGGCAGCAGUAGGGAAUCUUCCACAAUGGACGAAAGUCUGAUGGAGCAACGCCGCGUGAGUGAAGAAGGUUUUCGGAUCGUAAAACUCUGUUGUAAGGGAAGAACACGUACGAGAGUAACUGCUCGUACCUUGACGGUACCUUAUUAGAAAGCCACGGCUAACUACGUG
rnacentral:rRNA from 1 species